AACCCGGAAGCCGCGGAACGCGGCAAUUCAGCGUCUCCUGUGGUCGAACCUGCCCUCCAGCCCCGGUAACGUGUGGCUCAAAAGGCUCCAACAUUCAGCUACAGGCUAAAGCCCGGGGGAGCCGCCGCAGAGCGGCAGUUCUGGAACUGGUCUAAUCAGUAUGAAGUGUUAAUAUCCAGUGAAUCAAUUACCUUUGAUGAAUAUCAGACUAAAUGAAAAACUCAGUCUUUUGUAACAGUAAAGAAGUUCCCAGUCAAAUAAUGGAAUGUUAUAAAAGCAAAAACAAACAGGAACUGGGCAGACAGCAUCUCAAACAGCACCCAGGAAAAACAGGAAGCUCUUUUGUCUGGGAUCAGUUAUACACGAAAGUGAAUUAAAUAAAGAACAAGGGAGCAUGGCCACGCCUCCUGUGAUUAGACCCUUCGCCAUGAAAAGUACCUGGGCCCAGCCAGGCACUCUACUCCACUGGGUCUUGAAAAAUACUUCAUAUGACCAUCUUCAAACCUACUACAGAGCGCAUAUAGGCAUCUCAAAUAGUUGAUAGCAGAAAACUAUUAUUAUUAUUAUCCUUUAUUUUUAUGGCGCCACAAGGGAUCCACACCGCCCAAUUACAGAGGACAUAAACAAAUAAGCAAAACAAGAAAACAUGUGCCGGCAUCUGACACCCAGGAUACAGGCUUGAGAUAAGCUCAGGACAGCAAACACUCUGCAGUGACAAAGUUGCAUUCACCCUUGUUAAGCUUUCCAAUCCUGUAGGGCUCUUGAAAUGCUGCAAACCUGGACCUUGGACGCUCUGUAUAUCUCAUUCCAUUGUAGUUUACAAUGGAGCUGUGUGCUCUGCAGACAUCCAUAUCUAAGUAUAACUUCACCCCUCUCCUGAUAUACAAGUGAAUAACCUCUCCAGCUCUCAAGGGCCCUGUGAGGCGCCUGAAUUCCUGCCCUCCACUCCAGCAGAGGAUUGCUCCAUUAACUCCUUCCCUGCUGCGGACUGGCACUGUAGCUCCUUCAUGCUUGGCACAAUAAUAUAUACAGAGAAAGCAGAUGAAAAUGUACUUUAAAAUCUAGGAAAGAGCCCUUGCGUGUUGCAAUAUUUACAUUACAUCACAUUUUCAAUUGUCAGUUUGGAAGGCAAGAGAGGUUUCUGGAGUUAAAAGCUGACUGUUUGAAAACGCAAGAUAACAAAAUCCAAAGAAAAUAUAAAGUGAGCGGCUUUUGUUACAGGGCGGGAUAUGGGAUCCUGUUAUUACUUACGCAUUUAACAGCAAAUAAUAUGAUGAGGUCGCACAAUAUAGACUGAAGGAUCAUUUUGGAAAAUAUUAACCAAAAAUACAGUAGUUUCGAGCCAGUACGUAUGAUUAAAGGUUUUAUUCUGGGCACGUCUGCCGUCAUGAACUGAAUGACUGUUUAAUGUUUUCCAAAGAUAUAACUAGAGUGGAAAGAAAUUAAGAUUUAGAUCUGCAGUUUAUAAAUGUAAUGGCCUUUGCCUGUCUAGAAAAGAAGUAUGAUAAAUUGUUGUCAAAUAAUCUAAGAUCUGUCACCUUUGUCUUGGUUGGUAAACGCCUUUUAAAACAACCCAUUGCUUGUGGAGGCUGCCAUUUUGUGGGAUUAGUUGAAUGCAGCCAUCAAUUUGCUCAGCGAUGUGACUGUGAGUGGUUCCGGGUCAAUUUGUAGGUUGCAUUCUGGGAAAUAGUAUCUGGUGUCACAAAAUGGCUACUUACUUGGUGUGUAUGUCACAGGUGCAGUUUAAAUAAAGCUAAUGAGCUCUUACAGAUAAAUUGAGCCAAGCAGACAAAAUGGCUACUGCUUGCAUACCAAUGUAGUAACAGAGCUGCUCUACUGUUGUUUCUAUAAUAAUAGAACAUAACAGUAAUAAUGUGAAUUAUAGACUUUUCUCACAAACCUUAGAUCUUAUAGCAGCAACUC